rnacentral:misc_RNA from 1 species
GAAAUGCGAUAAGUAAUGUGAAUUGCAGAACUCAGUGAAUCAUCGAAUCUUUGAACGCACAUUGCGCCCGCCAGUAUUCUGGCGGGCAUGCCUGUCCGAGCGUCAUUUCAACCAUCAAGCCCCUGGGCUUGUGUUGGGGACCUGCGGCUGCCCGCAGGCCCUGAAAACCAGUGGCGGGCUCGCUGUCACACCGAGCGUAGUAGCAAUCACCUCGCUCAGGGCGUGCUGCGGGUUCCGGCCGUUAAACAGCCUUACAAAACCCAAGGUUGACCUCGGAUCAGGUAGGAAGACCCGCUGAACUUAAGC